CCCCGUCCUCUCAUUGCCCCUCCCCCUCCCCCAGGCCCUUUUUGCCCCUCCCCCUCAAAAAUAAAGCACUUUGGUCCUCCCGCCCGCCAGGGGGCGCUGCUGCGCACGCGCUUUAGGGCGUGGCACCUCUGGAAUAACGCACCGGAAGUCGGCCAUGUUGCCCUGGUGCACGAUGGGAACUGCAGUUCCGUGCAGCCUCACAACUUCCGGUCACCUGUUUCUGAAGCAUGACGGGAACUGUAGUUCUAAAUUAGCGGCCAUACCGGAAGUGGCUUGGCGGAUGUUUCCCAAUGCAUUCUGGGAGCUGUGGUUUGUUAAUAAGGGGGCGGGGGCUCGGCCAUGUUGGCGCCCGGUGCAUGCUGGGAGCUGUAGUUCGCUCCAGUCCCCCAGGAGGAGUCUCUGCCUCACGGCCUGGGCGUUACUGGUCCGUACUGGAGGCAGCUGCUCGCCACGCCCUGCCCCACCGCCGUGACGUCACCCACACCGAGGCAUCAUGGGUAGGCGGCCAUCUUUACUGAGGGCACUGGGGGACGGUCACCGCCGUGUCCGGGGGGCAUCCAGGUGUCCAUGGAGGGUCCCCAGGUGUCCUCAAAGAUCCACUGGAGGGUCCUCAGGUGUUCAUGACAGGUCCUUCAAGUGUCCCCAGGCAUGUCUCAGGUGUCCCAGGCGUGUCCCAGCUGUCCCAGGUGUGUCCCAGGCAUGUCCCAGGUGUGUCCCAGCUGUCCCCAGGCGUGUCCCAGGUGUCCUCAGGUGUUCACGGCAGGUCCUUCAAGUGUCCCCAGGUGUGUCCCAGGCGUUCUGGGUGUGUCCCAGGCGUGUCCCAGCUGUCCCCGGCAUGUCCCAGGCGUGUCCGAGCUGUGCCCAGGCGUGUCCCAGGUGUCCCCAGGUGUUCACGGCAGGUCCCUCAAGUGUCCCCAGGCAUGUCCCAGCUGCCCCAGGUGUGUCCCAGGCGUGUCCCAGGCGUGUCCCAGCUGUCCCCAGCUGUCCCCAGGUGCUCAGCAGCGCCGGGGGGAUCCGGGGUAGCGCCUCCUCAGCUCCUCCCGGAAUCCACGGAAGAGGCGCCGGUUGUGGGCCAGCUCGGCCUCGCGGCCCCCGUGGAACCCGCCCGGCUCCUUGAACCCCCGGUGGGUGACGAAGG
rnacentral:lncRNA from 1 species